UACGGGGGGGUGCGAGCGUUGUCCGGAAUCACUGGGCGUAAAGGGCGCGUAGGUGGCCUGAUAAGGGUGUGGUGAAAGUCCGGGGCUUAACCCCGGAUCUGCCGUGCCGACUGUUAGGCUAGAGUGCUGUAGGGGCAGGCGGAAUUCCGGGUGUAGCGGUGGAAUGCGUAGAGAUCCGGAAGAACACCGGUGGCGAAGGCGGCCCGCUGGGCAGUGGCUGACGCUGAGGCGCGACAGCGUGGGGAGCAAACAGG
rnacentral:rRNA from 1 species